GAUGAACGCUGGCGGCGUGCCUAAUACAUGCAAGUCGAGCGAACAGACGAGGAGCUUGCUCCUCUGACGUUAGCGGCGGACGGGUGAGUAACACGUGGAUAACCUACCUAUAAGACUGGGAUAACUUCGGGAAACCGGAGCUAAUACCGGAUAAUAUAUUGAACCGCAUGGUUCAAUAGUGAAAGACGGUUUUGCUGUCACUUAUAGAUGGAUCCGCGCCGCAUUAGCUAGUUGGUAAGGUAACGGCUUACCAAGGCAACGAUGCGUAGCCGACCUGAGAGGGGGAUCGGCCACACUGGAACUGAGACACGGUCCAGACUCCUACGGGAGGCAGCAGUAGGGAAUCUUCCGCAAUGGGCGAAAGCCUGACGGAGCAACGCCGCGUGAGUGAUGAAGGUCUUCGGAUCGUAAAACUCUGUUAUUAGGGAAAAACAAAUGUGUAAGUAACUAUGCACGUCUUGACGGUACCUAAUCAGAAAGCCACGGCUAACUACGUG
rnacentral:rRNA from 1 species